rnacentral:rRNA from 1 species
UAAGAGAGCUGAUUCUUAGUACACCCUGCUCAAUGAUAAUUAAAUAGCCGCAAAAUUUGUGCUAAGGUAGCAUAAUCAUUUGCCUAAUAAUUAUAGGAUAGCAUGAAUGGGAUAACAUGUAAUCUUCUUUAUCAAGAAAAACACUCUAACUUACUAAGUAAGCAAGAAUACUUACAAAACUAGGGGGACGAUAAGACCCUGUCAAACUUUACCCCUAAAGUUUAGCUGGGGCGGCAGAAAAUCAAAUCUUUACCUCAAUAAUCCUAUAUAACCCUUACAAAGGAUAAACAAGUUACUGCAGGGAUAACAGCACAAUCACCUCUAAAAGACCUUAUAUAAGAAGUGGCUUGUGACCUCGAUGUUGAAUUAAAGAUCUUUUAGAGGCAACUCUCUAAUAAGAAAGUCUGUUCGACUUUUAAACCAUU